CUCCAGGAAGCAGCUCCCCUGUCCUCCCACGCAAUGCUCCACACAGCAUCGCGCGGGAGGACAGGGGAGCUGCUUCCUAGAG